UACGAAGGGGGCUAGCGUUGCUCGGAAUCACUGGGCGUAAAGCGCACGUAGGCGGACUCUUAAGUCAGGGGUGAAAUCCUGGAGCUCAACUCCAGAACUGCCUUUGAUACUGGGAGUCUUGAGUUCGGGAGAGGUGAGUGGAACUGCGAGUGUAGAGGUGAAAUUCGUAGAUAUUCGGAAGAACACCAGUGGCGAAGGCGACUCGCUGGACAGACAUUGACGCUGAGGUGCGAAAGCGUGGGGAGCAAACAGG
rnacentral:rRNA from 1 species